rnacentral:rRNA from 1 species
AAGUUCCCCGCCUGGGGAGUACGGCCGCAAGGCUAAAACUCAAAGGAAUUGACGGGGGCCCGCACAAGCGGCGGAGCAUGCGGAUUAAUUCGAUGCAACGCGAAGAACCUUACCAAGGCUUGACAUAGCCGAGAACGCUGUAGAGAUACAGAACUCUUUGGACACUCGGUUACAGGUGGUGCAUGGUUGUCGUCAGCUCGUGUCGUGAGAUGUUCGGUUAAGUCCGGCAACGAGCGCAACCCUCGUCCUAUGUUGCCAGCACGUUAUGGUGGGAACUCAUGGGAUACUGCCGUGGUCAACACGGAGGAAGGUGGGGAUGACGUCAAGUCAUCAUGCCCCUUAUGUCUUGGGCUUCACGCAUGCUACAAUGGCCGAUACAAAGGGCUGCGAUACCGCGAGGUGGAGCGAAUCCCAAAAAGUCGGUCUCAGUUCGGAUUGGGGUCUGCAACUCGACCCCAUGAAGUCGGAGUCGCUAGUAAUCGCAGAUCAGCAACGCUGCGGUGAAUACGUUCCCGGGCCUUGUACACACCGCCCGUCAAGUCAUGAAAGUCGGUAACACCCGAAGCCGGUGGCCUAACCCUUGUGGAGGGAGCCGUCGAAGGUGGGACUGGUGAUUAGGACU